ACGGAAGGCAGCAGUGGGGAAUAUUGCACAAUGGGGGAAACCCUGAUGCAGCGACGCCGCGUGAGUGAAGAAGUAUUUCGGUAUGUAAAGCUCUAUCAGCAGGAAAGAAAAUGACGGUACCUGACUAAGAAGCCCCGGCUAACUACGUGCCAGCAGCCGCGGUAAUACGUAGGGGGCAAGCGUUAUCCGGAUUUACUGGGUGUAAAGGGAGCGUAGACGGCUUUGCAAGUCUGAAGUGAAAGCCCGGGGCUCAACCCCGGAACUGCUUUGGAAACUGUAGAGCUAGAGUGCAGGAGAGGUAAGUGGAAUUCCUAGUGUAGCGGUGAAAUACGUAGAUAUUAGGAGGAACACCAGUGGCGAAGGCGGCUUACUGGACUGUAACUGACGUUGAGGCUCGAAGGCGUGGGGAGCAAACAGGAUUAGAUACCCUGGUA
rnacentral:rRNA from 1 species